UACGGAGGGUGCGAGCGUUGUCCGGAAUCACUGGGCGUAAAGGGCGCGUAGGCGGCUCGGUAAGUAGGGGGUGAAAUCCUGCGGCUUAACCGCAGGGCUGCCUUCUAAACUGUCGAGCUUGAGCACGGUAGAGGCAGAUGGAAUUCCCGGUGUAGCGGUGGAAUGCGUAGAGAUCGGGAAGAACAUCAGUGGCGAAGGCGGUCUGCUGGGCCGUUGCUGGACGCUGAGGCGCGAAAGCGUGGGGAGCGAACAGG
rnacentral:rRNA from 1 species